rnacentral:rRNA from 1 species
CUGUAAGCGUAUACCAAAGUUGUUGCAGUUAAAACGCUCGUAGUCGGAAUUUGGCAGUUCCGGAUGUGUGCACGUCGUGUGCGCACUUCGCGGGGAUUGCUUUUGUGGUCUUGCGUAGGAUGAGGCACUUUUAUUAGUGAACGUCCUCACGCAACCACUUUUUACUGUGAGAAAAUCAGAGUGCUCAAAGCAGGCAUUUGCCGUGAAUGUAUUAGCAUGGAAUAAUAGAAUAGGACUUGGUUCUAUUUUGUUGGUUUGUUGGGACUGAGUAAUGAUUAAGAGGGACAGUUGGGGGCAUUUGUAGUUCGGUGCUAGAGGUGAAAUUCUUAGAUUACCGAAAGACAAACUGCUGCGAAAGCGUCUGCCAAGGAUGUUUUCAUUGA